ensembl:misc_RNA Metazoa_SRP Metazoan signal recognition particle RNA
GCCGGGCAUGAUGGCUCAUGCCUAUAAUCCCAGUACUUUGGGAGGCCGAGGUGGGAGGAUUGCUUGAGCCCAGGAGUUCAAGGCCAGCCUGGGCAACAAAGUGAGACUCUGUCUCUU